rnacentral:rRNA from 1 species
GAGUUUGAUCAUGGCUCAGGACGAACGCUGGCGGCGUGCUUAACACAUGCAAGUCGAGCGAGGCCCUUCCUUCGGGAAGGUGCCCUAGCGGCGAACGGGUGAGUAACACGUGGGCAACCUGCCCCUAGCACUGGGAUAACUCCGGGAAACCGGGGCUAAUACCGGAUAUGACCUUUGAGGGCAUCCUCGAAGGUGUAAAGGAUUCUGGCUAGGGAUGGGCCCGCGGCCUAUCAGCUUGUUGGUGGGGUAAUGGCCUACCAAGGCGACGACGGGUAGCCGGCCUGAGAGGGCGACCGGCCACACUGGGACUGAGACACGGCCCAGACUCCUACGGGAGACAGCAGUGGGGAAUAUUGCACAAUGGGCGAAAGCCUGAUGCAGCGACGCCGCGUGAGGGAUGACGGCCUUCGGGUUGUAAACCUCUUUCAGCAGGGACGAAGCGAAAGUGACGGUACCUGCAGAAGAAGCACCGACCAACUACGUGCCAGCAGCCGCGGUAAUACG